UACAGAGGGGGCAAGCGUUGUUCGGAAUUACUGGGCGUAAAGGGCGCGUAGGCGGCCUUCUAAGUCGAACGUGAAAUCCCCGGGCUCAACCCGGGAACUGCGUCCGAUACUGGGAGGCUUGAAUCCGGGAGAGGGAUGUGGAAUUCCAGGUGUAGCGGUGAAAUGCGUAGAUAUCUGGAGGAAUACCGGUGGCGAAGGCGGCAUCCUGGACCGGCAUUGACGCUGAGGAGCGAAAGCUAGGGGAGCAAACGGG
rnacentral:rRNA from 1 species